CCUGCGGAGGAUCAUUAAUGAAUUCACUAUGGAGUUGUUGCUGGCCUCUAGGGGCAUGUGCACGCUUCACUAGUCUUUCAACCACCUGUGAACUUUUGAUAGAUCUGUGAAGUCGUCCUUCAAGUCGUCAGACUUGGUUUGCUGGGAUUUAAACGUCUCGGUGUGACAACGCAGUCUAUUUACUUAACACACCCCAAAUGUAUGUCUACGAAUGUCAUUUAAUGGGCCUUGUGCCUAUAAACCAUAAUACAACUUUCAACAACGGAUCUCUUGGCUCUCGCAUCGAUGAAGAACGCAGCGAAAUGCGAUAAGUAAUGUGAAUUGCAGAAUUCAGUGAAUCAUCGAAUCUUUGAACGCACCUUGCGCCCCUUGGUAUUCCGAGGGGCAUGCCUGUUUGAGUGUCAUUAAAUUCUCAAACUCACAUUUAUUUGUGAUGUUUGGAUUGUUGGGGGUUGCUGGCUGUAACAAGUCGGCUCCUCUUAAAUGCAUUAGCAGGACUUCUCAUUGCCUCUGCGCAUGAUGUGAUAAUUAUCACUCAUCAAUAGCACGCAUGAAUAGAGUCCAGCUCUCUAAUCGUCCGCAAGGACAUUUUGACAAUUUGACCUC
rnacentral:rRNA from 1 species